CGUGGGUAACCUGCCUUAUAGUGGGGGAGUAGCCUUUCGAAAGGAAGAUUAAUACCGCAUAAGAUUGUAGUAUCGCAUGAUAUAGCAAUUAAAGGAGCAAUUCGCUAUAAGAUGGACCCGCGUCGCAUUAGCUAGUUGGUGAGGUAAUGGCUCACCAAGGCGACGAUGCGUAGCCGACCUGAGAGGGNGAUCGGCCACAUUGGGACUGAGACACGGCCCAGACUCCUACGGGAGGCAGCAUG
rnacentral:rRNA from 1 species